UUGCUGCUGUACUGUGAUCGGCUCAGCUGUGGGGGCCACAGGCACUUACUCCUUCUACUUCUUCUAAAUGGACUUAUUUUAUUGUAUGUUCAAAUGUCUCAUUAUACUUCUGCAAGAUGUGUGGGUCUGGAAGGCAUCUGGCGAGGCACUGAUUUGGCCUAUUUAUUGCCCGGGCCGGCUGCGAGGGGUACAAAGAUUAAUUGGACGCACCCAGCUUUCCAGGAUCUCACGUUUCAGCAUGGAGGAUACAGCUAUGACAAUACACAUUACAAAAUAAGAUUUGGACCUGGCUGGUUCUCUGGAACAGCAUGGAAGAAGGAUUCUCUCUCAUUGGCAGUGAGGAUCUGAGGAUGCCAUGAUUUCUCCACUUGGACUUGUCGUCUCUGGGUUAAAUGUCACCAGUUCCUUCAGCUCCUGCCAGAGUGCAAGCCUGCGCCUUACCUUCCAUGUGUCCCCGCCGGAGAGGACUGUGCACAGAGAGGAAGCCAGGGAUUGGGCAUAAGCAGUGACUGUACCCUAAUUCCAAGUGGGGAAGGGUAAGAAUUUAGGGAAUGUACUGGACAGGGGGAGAGGUGGAGAAGUGGAAAUCUGGCCCAAGGGUGAGAACUGAACCAGUCUGGAGACAACAGGAAAACGACCUGAAACCCAGGCCAGCCACAGCCACAGCUAGGAUCUUGUCCCCACUCUGAGCAAUAUGACCUUUACUGUCUACAUCGUCAGAGGAAAGAAGAUGGGGUCUGGGGGCUGUGCUGGGAUGAGAUUUCAGUCUAUGUCCAACACUGCUGAACUGAAUCGUAAAGAAGCAUAGCACACGCCUUUUUCAAAUAAAAGGAGGGAGUGCUGUGACAAAUGCAACACACCAUUUAGACACGGCUCUUGAUGGAGAGGUCAUUAAGGGCUUUCUCAUGCCCUCAGCAGGGACAGCCAAUGCCGCUGUGGUGCCUGGCCUGGGUCCUGGGUAUCUGGCAUUGACGCCUUUCACCGCGAGCCUCUUCUGUGCCUGGCUACCUCCUUCCUGCUGAGAGCAGAUGGGGACUUGCUCCUUUGGAGGACGCGCUGUCCUGCAUUCCUCCUUGGGAAACUAUCUCCCCGACGAGAGUCCUGACAGCUUGUCUCCCUGACCACAGGCCUCCCCAGCGAUAGGUCUCCUUACUUCCAUGCAUCCCACCUUCAGGCCUUGCUGCCGUAGGUGCUGGGUCUCGUUUGGCAUGAUUUCUCCUGCUCCCAUCGGAAUGACUGACCGGGCUCCCUUCUCCAAACCCGGGGGAAGCAGGGUUAGAGAUUCUCCACGGCCCCCAGCCUGGGAAGAGGUGCUCACAUAAAUAAAGAUGGGGAUUUGCCACCAGGACUGCCGGUACUAUGAACUCCACAAACAGAAAUACCUACUCCCAGAACAACGGGCCAUCCGGAGGGGAACGCAGAGUCAUUCUUCAUGUGAAGAUAACAGUCUCUGUAAUCCGCUGGAUCUUGCAGUUGCACGGGUUUUGGCAAAGGACGGAGUUGAGGGGAGAAGGAGAAUUCAUUCCGCGUGCGGCUUGCUGUCAUGAGCAUGGUGAUACAUUUGCUGGUUUUGGCCUGGGUUCCUGGACACAUCCCCAUCCUGAGGGUAACACCUUGGAAAUGAAAUUCUGACAACAGAAACUCCUUAAUGCUUUUGCUGGGAGAUCAGCUUCCACUCGAUGUUGGAAGGAAGGCAGUGAUGUGCUGCUAUGAUGGUAGACGCCACUUUGACCAACCCGGGCAGAGGUGGACACCAUCUGGGGGCAUGAAGAACUCAAGCCAUUCCAAGGACUCAUCUUAGAACAAUGCAAACAAUGCAUCCUCCUCGGCCUGGGUCCCUGGACCUGUUUUACUCACUCCGUGCUAUGCCUGGACACUGAUUUGUGGGGACCUGUUACUUCGCCAGCAAAGCCAGCCGAAGCCCUCAGCGUGUGGUGUAUUAGGCGGCUCUACACAAUGUCCACGGGGCUCAACCCUAGGAGUCUUCUUUGUCCUACUUCUCAACCAGCUUAUAAGUACCCCGAGGCUGGGGUUCUUGGGAUUUGUGUGUCACCCCCGCAACACAGCCUUUAACUUAAUAGAUGCAUAAUAAUUGUCAAAUCAAUCAAUCACAGGACCUAGAGUUUCCACCGUAUUUCUGAUCAUAGAAGCCAUUAAUUUCCUACUCUUUCACUUCUCAUGCCAAACUGCCAGACCUCAGGAAAAACUGGGGUAAAUGCUUUUACUGUGUUCAGCUUGAAUAAUUCACCACACCUGUAUAUUCAACCCACACACAAUCACCUGAGGCACCCUUUCUCUAGAAAUUAAAAAAAAAAAUCUUCUCUCUACGUAAGAUUUAUUUCAAGAUUAUAGCUAAUGAGCAUAGUUUGAUAUUGCCUCCUGUCCUCUUUCUUUGGUGGACUCAUAGUUUUAUUUUUACAUUAAAUUAACUUACA